rnacentral:lncRNA from 1 species
CACAAUGAAAAAUGAUUGAAAUACUGCGAGUGUGGCAAACAAACUAGCUAGUUCCAAUUUUGAGCACUGCUACUUUACAUAAGUAAAUGACCAAACCUAUCACCAAAAAGGAAAUUGUGUACACAAAAUGGAAGAAAAAACACAGGACGAAAUACGCGAGAAAUUCCAGGACACAGCGGCGGUCACGCGUUUUCUGACGGCUGACCUGAUUGGGAGCACGCCGCUGCCGUUGGAGUUGACGCCCCGGCCUGGAGCCACCGUCAUCGAGGGGGGAUUGCCGCGUUCGGCGCCGCUCGCGGUGACGGUCGGCCUCGCACUCGCUACUGGUGGUGGUGGAAGCCUCGCACUCGCUAUCGCUAGUCGCUACUGAUGGUUCCAAGAGCAAAGGCCCAUGUUGUUUGGGAUCCAGUAGGCCCAAUCAAGCCGUUGACUCCGAGGAGAGCCGCUUCCGAUGUCCUCGCCUCUUGCCGACACCUUCACCCACUCCCAGCAGGCCAGCACACAUUGGCGACGCUUCUCGCCGGAGAAGGGUGGGCGGAGGAUGCCCUGCCUGGCCCCUGCCAAUUGACGGCCACAUGGCUUCUUCUAGCAGGUCAGCAGCCCCUUAUCCCCCCCCCCCCCCCCCCCCCCCCCGAUCGAGAUUCAGUUUAGAAAUCCAGGCCAAAAAGUGGAAUCUUAAAAUGCCGGAACAAAUCUGACCUUAUAUGCAGGCAAGUAGAUAAACCUACCACGACGAGCAAACGCAGAUCUGUAGCCUAGUCGUUCGGGGUGGUCGAAUGG